CUCAGUAUGGGAGAAAAUAAUCCUAAUAUUCUUACACCCUCAGCUUCAAACUCAUUGCAUGAAGGCCCAGCACAUCACCAUCACCUACUGACAACCGACCCUGGCUAAACCAUUGAGAGAAACUGCCUUCCAUAAACAAAAUACAGGGCAGUGGACAAUCUCAGCCUAAACACACACCAUAUCAGUUUCACCACAAGAAGAACCAUGAAUGGCCUGAUCCGGAAAAAGUUAACUACCCUGUGUGUCUCACGGAUAACAAUAGCAGCAACAAUAUGCAUUUUUUGAGGAGGCAUAUUCAAUUGAUGGUUCCAUUUUUUCAAUUCUACAUAUAUCACCAGGCAUAGUUGCCAUCCAGCAACUUUCAUGAUAUGCCUGGGUACAGGACAAAACAGACUAUCUGAGAGAAGAGUUAUUUUCAUCUAAACCUUUCUGGUUUUCAGACUUGGGGUGGAGGGUUUUUUUUAUUCCAAAGCUUUGGGGAUUUUAGCUUGAUGUUGUUUUAUAGUCUUGUAUGUUUUGAAUACAUAUAUUGUCAAUUUGCUUUAUAUUCUAUUGUUUUUUUUUAAAAAAAAAUUCAUUUUAUCUGGAUGAUUUAUUUUUCAAGUGUAUUGUAUGGUAUUGCGACUUUUUGUUUCUCCUUCCCGUUCUGUCUGUGUUUAGGUUCACACAGAUAUUUUAGAUAUUCUAUCUGUGUUUAGGUACAAACAGAUAUUUUAGAUAUUAUGAUUCUGGCAGGACCCAUUAAUUUUGCUUGUUUCAUUGUACACUAAUAAAGGUAAAGGUUUCCCCCUGAUAUUAAGUCUAGUCGUGUCCGACUCUGGAGGUUGGAGCUCAUCUCCAUUUCUAAGCUGAAGAGCCGGUGUUGUCUAUAGACACCUCCAAGGUGAUGUGGCCAGAACGGUACCUAUUGAUCUACUCACAUUUGCAUGUUUUUGAACUGCUAGGUUGGCAGAAGCUGGGGCUAACAGCGGGAAGCUAAC
rnacentral:lncRNA from 11 species